GGGAACUGUCUACAAGAGUUGGUGAGGUUGGUGAAGCCCUUCGGCUUUCGACACUAGUUCAGAACCACCGGUGUAGACACUGCAGAAUAUUCGAAAACUUUGGUCUCGUGACGAGUAUCAUGGCCACGCUAAGUGCCAAGCCAGGGCUCAGGUACAGUGUGUCCGACUGGGACCCCAGUAACAAGCUGAUGUCUGACACAGCAGAACAGAGGCGACACAUCUCACAUGAGACAUGUCAGGAAGGGAAGACCUUACGCAAUGAGACAACCAGCAAGCCUAAGCACUCACAAACUUCUACAGAUGCACAAUCGAGAGCAUCCUGUCGGGCUGUAUCACCGCAUGGUACGGCAAGUGCUCCGCCCACAACCGUAAGGCUCUCCAGAGGGGAGUGAGGUCUGCACAAUGCAUCACCGAGGGCAAACUACCUGCCCUCCAGGACACCUACACCACCUGAUGUCACAGGAAAGCCAUAAAGAUCAUCAAGGACAACAACCACCCGAGCCACUGCCUGUUCACCCCGCUGUCAUCCAGAAGGCGAGGUCAGUACAGGUGCAUCAAAGCAGGGACCGAGAGACUGAAAAACAGCUUCUAUCACAAGGCCAUCAGACUGUUAAACAGUCACCACUAACAUUGAGUGGCUGCUGCCAACAUACUGACUCAACUCCAGACACUUUUAAUAACGGAAAUUGAUGUAAAAAUGUAUCACUAGCCACUUUAAAUAAUGCCACUUAAUAUAAUGUUUACAUACCCUACAUUACUCAUCUCAUAUGUAUAUGUAUAUACUGUACUCUAUAUCAUCUACUGCAUCUUGCCAUCUUUAUGUAAUACAUGUAUCACGAGCCACUUUAAAUAAUGCCACUUAAUAUAAUGUUUACAUACCCUACAUUACUCAUCUCAUAUGUAUAUGUAUAUACUGGACUCUAUACCAUCUACUGCAUCUUGCCUAUGCCGUUCUGUACCAUCACUCAUUAAUAUAUCUUUAUAUACAUAUUCUUUAUCCCUUAAAACUUGUGUGUGUAUAAGGUAAUAGUUUUGGAAUUGUUAGGUUAGAUUACUCGUUGGUUAUUACUGCAUUGUCGGAACUAGAAGCACAAGCAUUUCACUACACUCCCAUUAACAUCUGCUAACCAUGUGUAUGUGACAAAUAAAA